ACCAACUGAGGGCAGUGUCAUUGAGUUCAGUGGUGAGGUGGAGCCGGUUUAAAAGAAUGCCAUGGUCGACAGUAUCAAAUACAGCAGAAAGGCCCAGGAGGAUGAGGAGGGAGGGAGAGCCAGCAUCGGAUGAUGAGUAGGCUUAAGACGUUGAUGAGUAGGCUUAAGACGUUCCUCUUUGAUAAAGCUUAUAGUUAGGGUUGGCUCAGGUGAGUCCUGAACCAUCCCUUAGUUAUGCUGCUAUAGGCCUGGACUGCUGGGGGAUUUCCCAUGAUGCACUGAGCUCCUCUCAUCCUCUCCCUCUCUUUCUGCACUCAUUCAUGUUCCAUUAAUGCAUGUUACUAACUUCACUUCUUCCCCAGAGUUCUUGUGCUUUCUCGUCUCGCAGGUUCUCAUGGAUCCUGGUGGAGCCUCCUGCCAUGGUCCUGCUUGACUGCCAUUGCCAAUACUGUUGUUGCUGUGCGUCUGUCUGUCUGUCUGUCUGUCUGUCUCUGUCUCUCUCUCUCUCUCUCUCACCCCAACUGGUCGAGACAGACGACCACCCACCUAGAGCCGGAGGAUCUGUCCUAGGUUUCUGCCUUUUAACAGGCAGUUUUUCCUUGCCCUUGUCGCCAAGUGCUUGCUCAUGGUGGUACUGUUGGGUCUCUGUAAUUAAUGUUAAAGAGUUCGGUCUAGACCUGCUCUAUUUGAAAAGUGUCCUGAGAUAACUUCUGUUAUGAAUUGGCGCUAUACAAAUAAAAUUGAAUUGAAUUGAA